rnacentral:ncRNA from 1 species
GCUGCGCCUACCUCGACGGAGGGAAAACCGGGAUACCUUCACCCGGCUGGCGCGGCUCUUGAACUGAAGG